GACGAACGCUGGCGGCGUGCUUAACACAUGCAAGUCGAACGCGAAAGGGGACGCGAAUCCCUGAGUAGAGUGGCGAACGGGUGAGUAAUGUGUGGGUAAUUUGCCUUUGAGCGGGGAUAACCCGGCGAAAGCUGAGCUAAUACCCCAUAACAUUGCAGUUUCUUCGGAGAAUGCAAAUCAAACGAUGGCCUCUAUUUAUAAGCUAUUGCUUGAAGAUGAGCCCACANCCUAUCACGCUUGUUGGUGGGGUAA
rnacentral:rRNA from 1 species